UACAGGGGGGGCAAGCGUUGUUCGGAAUUACUGGGCGUAAAGGGCUCGUAGGUGGCCAACUAAGUCAGACGUGAAAUCCCUCAGCUUAACUGGGGAACUGCGUCUGAUACUGGAUGGCUUGAGUUUGGGAGAGGGAUGCGGAAUUCCAGGUGUAGCGGUGAAAUGCGUAGAUAUCUGGAGGAACACCGGUGGCGAAGGCGGUUCUCUGGGCAUGAUCUGACGCUGAGGAGCGAAAGCGUGGGGAGCGAACAGG
rnacentral:rRNA from 1 species